AGGACGUUAGCUCAGUUGGUUAGAGCACCACCUUGACAUGGUGGGGGUCGGUGGUUCGAAUCCACUACGUCCUACCA
rnacentral:tRNA from 1 species